AUGACUAAUACAGAUUGAUAGCAUCAAUAAUAAGGAACAUUUCCAUUUUAAUUUGCUUUAGAAAUGUGAGCUGAUUAAUUCUCAUCCAUAUCAGAAGGUAGGUCCAUGUUGUCAGACAAGAGGGAAAACAGGUAGAGGAGCUUGUCCAGUGGCACAGAAAGCAGCAAGGUCAGUUCAAGCAGGGCCACAGGAAGAACAGUUGCCAUGGCUGGGAUAGCAGAGCUCAUGGAGAUGCCCCAGAGUGGAAGAACAGCUGGAGAUGGACAAACAGCUCAUGAAGGCAGAAAUUGCUGAACUCCCAUGCUCAUGUGCAUUGGCUGGAAGAUAACCUGGCUGAGGCCAGUGCCCAGCUGGCUGUGGUGGGGGAGAGCCAAGCUGAAAAUAAAGCCAUCAGGCUCCAAGAUGGCCUGAGGAGACAGCUGGGUGAGGAGCCCAAGGUGCUGAGGAGCACCAGCUGCCGGCAGAGGCUGCUGCUGUCCUGGGUCAUCACUGCCUGCUCCUCUGAACGUUGUCCACUUCAGAGUAACAAAUCUGUUGUGUUAGCCCUCACAAAGGA
rnacentral:lncRNA from 1 species